ACCUGGAUGACUCAGUGGUUGAGUGUCUGCCUUCGGCUCAGGAUGUGAUCCUGGUGGGAUCGAGUCCCGCAUCAGGUU
rnacentral:tRNA from 1 species